ACACUUCUAUGAUGUUUUAGCACUGGGCUCUGAGCACCUGUGUAGACUAAUGUGCAGUUCUGCUCCUGACAUGGCAGACUCUGAGGAGUGU